UUGAAUAGUAAUGAGAUAGGUGCCCGUAAGGGCUUAAUAGGGAAGUCCGGUGUAAUGCCGGCGCGGUCCCGCCACUGUAAUGGGGAGCAAACCCAGAAAAGUGCCACUGAGACUUUGUGUCUUGGGAAGGUGUGGGUGAGCAAAGAACCAGAGCCAGGAGAACUGCCUGUCUAACAGUCACCGU
rnacentral:ncRNA from 2 species